rfam:Parcubacteria (Kuenenbacteria) bacterium GW2011_GWA2_42_15 TV02_C0005, whole genome shotgun sequence.
GCGGGCGUAGCACAACGGUUAGUGCGCAAGCCUUCCAAGCUUGGGAUGAGGGUUCGACUCCCUUCACCCGCU